AAAUUGAAGAGUUUGAUCAUGGCUCAGAUUGAACGCUGGCGGCAGGCCUAACACAUGCAAGUCGAACGGUAACAGGAAGAAGCUUGCUUCUUUGCUGACGAGUGGCGGACGGGUGAGUAAUGUCUGGGAAACUGCCUGAUGGAGGGGGAUAACUACUGGAAACGGUAGCUAAUACCGCAUAACGUCGCAAGACCAAAGAGGGGGACCUUCGGGCCUCUUGCCAUCGGAUGUGCCCAGAUGGGAUUAGCUAGUA
rnacentral:rRNA from 1 species